AACGAACGCUGGCGGCAUGCCUAACACAUGCAAGUCGAACGAUAUCCUUCGGGGUCUAGUGGCGCACGGGUGCGUAACGCGUGGGAAUCUGCCCUUAGGUUCGGAAUAACAGUUAGAAAUGACUGCUAAUACCGGAUGAUGACGUUAAGUCCAACGAUUUAUCGCCUGAGGAUGAGCCCGCGUAGGCUUAGCUAGUUGGUGUGGUAAAGGCGCACCAAGGCGACGAUCCUUAGCUGGUCUGAGAGGCUGAUCAGCCACACUGGGACUGAGACACGGCGCAGACUCCUACGGGAGGCAGCAGUGGGGAAUAUUGGACAAUGGGCGCAAGCAUGAUCCAGCACUGCCGCGUGAGUGAUGAAGGCCUUAGGGUUGUAAAGCUCUUUUACCCGGGAUGAUAAUGACAGUACCGGGAGAAUAAGCCCCGGCUAACUCCGUG
rnacentral:rRNA from 1 species